GGCUCAGGACGAACGCUGGCGGCGUGCUUAACACAUGCAAGUCGAACGGAGUGCCUAUGAUAGAGACUUCGGUCAAUGGAUUAGGUUACUUAGUGGCGGACUGGUGAGUAACGCGUGAGGAACCUGCCCUUCAGAUGGGGACAACAGCUGGAAACGGCUGCUAAUACCGAAUACGUCUUUUUGUCGCAUGGCAGAGGGAAGAAAGGGAGGCUCUUCGGAGCUUUCGCUGAAGGAGGGGCUUGCGUCUGAUUAGCUAGUUGGAGGGGUAACAGCCCACCAAGGCGACGAUCAGUAGCCGGUCUGAGAGGAUGAACGGCCACAUUGGGACUGAGAUACGGCCCAGACUCCUACGGGAGGCAGCAGUGGGGAAUAUUGCACAAUGGGGGAAACCCUGAUGCAGCAACGCCGCGUGAGUGAUGACGGCCUUCGGGUUGUAAAGCUCUGUUUCCAGGGACGAUAAUGACGGUACCUGGGGAGGAAGCCACGGCUAACUACGUG
rnacentral:rRNA from 1 species